rnacentral:rRNA from 1 species
CAGCCGCCGCGGUAAUACGUAGGGGGCGAGCGUUGUCCGGAGUUACUGGGCGUAAAGGGUGCGUAGGCGGCCCAUUAAGUCAGGUGUGAAAAACCCUGGCUCAACCGGGGUAUUGCACUUGAAACUGGUGGGCUUGAGUGCAGGAGAGGGAAGUGGAAUUCCUGGUGUAGCGGUGAAAUGCGUAGAUAUCAGGAGGAACACCAGUGGCGAAGGCGGCUUCCUGGCCUGUAACUGACGCUGAGGCACGAAAGCGUGGGGAGCAAACAGGAUUAGAUACCCUGGUAGUCCACGCUGUAAACGAUGGAUACUAGGUGUAGGGGGCGAUUUAGCCUUCUGUGCCGAAGUUAACGCAAUAAGUAUCCCGCCUGGGGAGUACGGCCGCAAGGUUGAAACUUAAAGGAAUUGGCGGG